rnacentral:rRNA from 1 species
UACGUAGGGUCCGAGCGUUGUCCGGAAUUAUUGGGCGUAAAGGGCUCGUAGGCGGUUUGUCGCGUCGGGAGUGAAAACACGGGGCUUAACCCCGUGCCUGCUUCCGAUACGGGCAGACUAGAGGUAUGCAGGGGAGAACGGAAUUCCUGGUGUAGCGGUGAAAUGCGCAGAUAUCAGGAGGAACACCGGUGGCGAAGGUGGUUCUCUGGGCAUUACCUGACGCUGAGGAGCGAAAGCGUGGGGAGCGAACAGG